rnacentral:siRNA from 1 species
AGCAUACAAAUUGAUGUUGUAGCC